UCUCUCUUGCAUCUCUCUACAAUUUAUAAAACUUUAUAGAUCUAGAACAGUUUGAGUUUAGUGUUUCAUUGGUUUUGGUAUCUCAAGUAAUAAACUUUAAUUAGUUCGUAUUAAUUGUGCGUCUUCUGUUCUCUCUGUACGUGUAGUAGUAAUUGCAUCUUUGUGUGUAUGUUUUUGUUGUCAGCAUCUGAGACAGGUGUCUUCUGGGACAUAGACGAAUGCGAGAUCCCUGAGGAACUCAACGCUGCUCAGGUCUUACAGAGGAUGAGACAGAAUUUUUCGGAGGGUGGUCAUCGUGGUCCUGUCUCAUUCCGAGCUUACGGUGAUAUGACCGGUCUUGACAUUCAAUCCUCUGAUGGAUUUUUUUGAAAAGAAUCCAUUUGAGUGCCCUGGAGAAGGAGUCCAUCCGCGGGCUUGCGACUCCCCUUGAUUCAACCAGGUUAAAAAAUCCUCUGAUGUUAAGCUCAAUCAUUUUCAUGCAGUGGUCACUUGAGAAUCCAGAACCAUCGGUGGUAGUGCUAAUCUUGGAGACUUGGAAGACGUCGGAGCUUACAUCGCCGAGGUUAUGCGACUUCUUAAGAUUCAAAAAAAUUACGAGUUUAUGGUCGUGUAUCCACCACCCCCACGUCCAACGUUAACGGUGGUGAGGUUUCUGAGGGUUGGCAGGGGCGUUGCGUCCUGAGAUUUGGGGACCUAAAACAAUUUAGUGAGGGUUUUCGAAUAAUUUUUUUUUACAAAUUCUGAGAUUUUUUUGUAUGUAAUUUUUUUGAAAAAAAUUUGGGGGCUCUAUGCCGAUGUUUCAAUUCGCUGUGCUCAGGACCACGCAUGCUUCUGUGGUGGACUCUAAGUUUUGGUUUAAUUAGUAAGAGUAUAUGAAGAACAUUUAAAUUUCAAGAAGUUUGUAGUUUUUAUUGUUAGUAAAAAUGUUUGGAUAAUCAAA